rnacentral:misc_RNA from 1 species
AACGCACCUUGCGCUCCUUGGUAUUCCGAGGAGCAUGCCUGUUUGAGUGUCAUUAAAUUCUCAACCAUUAUUAGCUUUUGCUGAUGAUGGCUUGGAUAUGGGGGUUUAUUUUGCUGGCUUCUUCACAGAUGGUCAGCUCCCCUUAAAUGCAUUAGCUGGUGCCCCGCGUGGACUGUCUAUUGGUGUGAUAAUUAUCUACGCCGUCGACAUCUACAAUCAUAUGGGUUUGCACUGCUUCCAACCGUCUGUUUAUUCAGACAAUACAUGACAAUUUGACCUCAAAUCAGGUAGGACUACCCGCUGAACUUAA